GACGAACGCUGGCGGCGUGCUUAACACAUGCAAGUCGAACGGAAAGGCCCUGCUUUUGUGGGGUGCUCGAGUGGCGAACGGGUGAGUAACACGUGAGUAACCUGCCCUUGACUUUGGGAUAACUUCAGGAAACUGGGGCUAAUACCGGAUAGGAGCUCCUGCUGCAUGGUGGGGGUUGGAAAGUUUCGGCGGCUGGGGAUGGACUCGCGGCUUAUCAGCUUGUUGGUGGGGUAGUGGCUUACCUAGGCUUUGACGGGUAGCCGGCCUGAGAGGGUGACCGGCCACAUGGGGGCUGGGAGACGGCCCAGAGUCAUGCGGGGGGCAGCGGUGGGGAUUAUGGCACAGUGGCGGAAGCCUGAUGCAGCAACGCCGCGUGCGGGAUGACGGCCUUCGGGUUGUAAACCGCUUUCGCCUGUGACGAAGCGUGAGUGACGGUAAUGGGUAAAGAAGCACCGGCUGACUACGUG
rnacentral:rRNA from 1 species